UACGUAGGGUGCGAGCGUUGUCCGGAAUUAUUGGGCGUAAAGAGCUCGUAGGCGGUCUGUCACGUCGGCUGUGAAAACCCGAGGCUCAACCUCGGGCCUGCAGUCGAUACGGGCAGACUAGAGUUCGGUAGGGGAGACUGGAAUUCCUGGUGUAGCGGUGAAAUGCGCAGAUAUCGGGAGGAACACCAAUGGCGAAGGCAGCACUCUGGGCCGGUACUGACGCUGAGGAGCGAAAGCGUGGGGAGCGAACAGG
rnacentral:rRNA from 1 species